GGCUGAACCAGUUGAACCGGGCCCAAAUGGGUCAAAGGUCCAACCGAGCCCAUCCAUUAAAUAAGGACACAGCUUCCUCUUUUCAUUCUCUUCCUCAUUCACGCUGGGAAACACUCAAAGAGGAGGAAGAACACCCAAAGCUUCCAAACCCUCAUUCAAACACUCCCUUUGCCACAACUCCUCCAUUUAAGCUCCGAUCGCCGCACUAUUUGCGGCUAUGCGUCCAGCGCGUCGAGCUUUAUAAUUCUAUCGAAACAAUUUAUUUGGUGGUGUGUAUGUAAUUGGAACAUGAAAUUGUGGACAUUGGAGGCCUUGGAUUGGUGUCAAUUCUUGGUGAUUUUGUGAAUUGUGGAGCAGUGUGUGUGUGGCUUAAGUGUUGUCUUGGACUAAAUGUGAAAAUCGGCCAAGAUGCAGGUCGGGAGGCUCAUCACUAGGCAUCUGGACUCUGAAGUAGAGUAGUCUCUGGGUUUAUUUUGUUGUACAGCUUUAUGAAUAAAUACUUAGCUUUCUCUCUAAGAAACUUGCUUAUUUUGUCCCUCCUAGAGGGUUGAGGAGAGUUAAGUUUUCAAUUAUGUACUUUGGGUUUUCGGGAGAUAUAUAUAUAUAUAUAUAUUCUCCGGCCAGCCUUAGUUUUGCAGGCUGAGUUAAGAGCUUGUUAUUCUGUACUUUUGGUCCUCUACUCCCGUUUUCUGCUUAGUUACCUUUAUCCCUAUAAUCUUUAGGUUUCUUAGCAGGCAAGUUAUCUCAUUUUUUGAGCGUUGCGUUUUUUAUUUUCACGAUUUUGUUUCACCUAUUUUUCAAGACUCCUAGUUUAUUAUAUUUCUUUGCUGUUAUAUAUAUAUAAGUAGAAGUCAUAAUACCACACUACCUCUAUUUUACGGCUUAAGUGUAAAGCUUUGUAUAGUAGAGUGUUACAUUUGUCUCCAUUGGAAUCAAAGCUGACUUGCAGUCCAAAAAAUUGGUGUCUUCAAGCAAAGACAUAGUAUACUUUCUCUGUAUAAGUGAAAUUCCUGCUUAAAGAUAUAGUAUACAAGCAAUGUACACUACACCAAAAACGGCCGAUUGCGGUGGGUUUUUAGCGGCGGUUACCGAAAACUGCCACCAAAUGAAAUAUUGCAGCGUUUGAUGCGGCGGAUAAGAGGAGAGCUGCCAAUUGUUUGGCAUUUUGCGGCGGUUUUGAUAUAACCGCCGCAAAAUAGAUUAUUGUGGCGCUAGAUAAGCUAUUGGCGGUGGUUUGUUUCCAACUGCCACAAAAUACGUCUAACUCGUUUCUUUUUUUUUUAAAUAAUCGGGUAUGUU